AAAUUUAUAUUUGCUUGUUUUAACCAGCUAUACAAGAUGGAUCAUGAUAUUUUCAAUACAUGGUGCAACAUCCUUAAGCGAGUACCAAAUAGUGCACUUUGGCUUCUCAGAUUUCAUGCUGCUGGCGAGUCGAGACUCUGCAAUUAUGCUGUUCAAAGAGGUGUACAACCAGAUCAGAUUAUUUUCACAAAUGUUGCCAUGAAGGGUGAACAUAUCAAGCGUAGUGCUUUAGCAGAUUUAUUCUUGGACACGUAAGCAUGCUUAAUACUUUUUUUCUAUUUUUUUAUUAUUCAAGUGUAUUUAUCUUAGUACAUUACAAUAUAUAACUUUAUUUUGACAUUUGAUGUUGCUAUUGCUGAUUGAUUUUUCUAUUGUUGUUUUGUUUCUUUAUUUUUUUUUGGUGGUGUGUGCUCUGUAGCAUUGCAUUUAGUUAGCUUAAUAUUUAGCUCAUAUUUUCUUGAGUCGUUGCACCAGAAUUCCCUUAAUCAAGAGCCAUAUUUUGUUAGAAGUGAAUCAUGUCUUAUUAACAGAAUGAUUUUUCAACUGGUUACAGGUCUUUCCCAGAGCUUGGACAGCAAUUUUGAUUUCUCUAGAAAAUAGUGGCAUGUGGAACCUUCGAACAAACAAUCUAAACUCAUGGUAUCUAGGCCAGGAAACGUACAUUAGUGUCGUAAACUCUGAGUUUGUGAGAGGAAUUGCAGAAGCAGCAGAAAGUAAGUUCAAUUCAAUUUCGUUUUCUGGUUUUAUAUAUGAGUUG